GGGCUGAACAUUUAAUUGACUGGUUGGGCUGGUUUUAGGGAAAAUUAAUAAUAUUCCCCUUUUCCUACUCGUCAAACAGGUAAAUAAGUUGAGCUAAACAAUUAGCAGUAACAGAAUAUAUAACCCUCAGCUUGUGGUCACUAAAAUGCGUAUAAUUAUAUUGACAUUACGCUGAAUUUAAGCCACUUUUCACACUGUAUUAACAUUAAUUAAGACAACACUAUCGGUGGCCAAGACCUCAGAAAGUCCUGCUAAAUCUCUGUUGAUGGUAGAUUCCACUUAUCUACACAGGAAAACGAAUUAACACUUAAUCUUGGUCUGAACGUGGAAUGGCACGGUUUCAGCGGAUAGCGCUUAACCUUUUUCGUAACGCAAAGGUUGUUGACAAUUGUUUCGCUUCGAAUCCAAGGUGCGAUCAAAUAAGUUUGGUCGGCAUUUUUGCAUUAAUUAUGUAAAUUGGCCCACGUGAGGAUACGUAUAAUGCAAACACAUAGACAAUUAUGUUUAGCGUAUGAAAUCCUCUAAUGCUUUCUGGGGUCUGAAUAUCUAUGUAACAUUACAUUCUCGUUCAAAAUGGAUUGAUCCACCGUAUUCAAAUAAUUUCUUUCUUUGCUUCUUGAAUUAAUAAUUCGCACUUCACCAAAAAGGCGACUUUCAUUCACAAAUUUCCUUUGCCAAACGAAUUGUUCAGUUCAACUGGAAAAUCCAUAAUUUGCGUCAAUGCUGACCAACCCUCAACUCAUCAUCUUGGUCCAGGCGUGUCAAUCCUGUUGCAACAAAAGUUCCCGUUUCCACAUUUGCCACAUGCAGAGAUUAUGAUCUGUAAUCAAUGUACCGACGACCAUGGAAUCAUUAUUCAUUUCUUUGCAUGAUUAGUGCAAAUGUGAGUUUUUUUUAAGAAAUUCAGUUAGUCUUUUUUACUCAAAAACUGUUUACCUUGUUCUAUGCCUUGACGUUCUACGUUUGCACUUGAUUCUGGGAAUUUUCAAGUGAAAUGCAUGCAAACCGGGUAGGCUGGUGCAAUUUUCAGUUUUUGUAAUGUUUCUCUAAUGAUCAACAGUCUCAAAAUAUUCAAACACUGUACAGCAUUAUCUGUACGUGCUAUUUAAAACACACAGUGCAGACUCAAAAUAUACAGCCAUGUAUGAAACCCGACCUAUGGAGUUAUCAACAUUCGUUAUCAAUAAUAAUAGUUGUGCUGAUUCAUCUUCCUUCUCGUUUCCAUCAAUUUGGAUAAUGACACAUCGAAUCAUUUUUUUAAAUAAACGCAAGAUCUUUUAAAUUAUUUAGACAAAUACAUAAGUACAUGGACAUCGUUCAUCAAAUAGGCAUCAGUCCAGCGUACCAUCCUCCAAAGAAUAAAUCUUGGUUAUGAUAGUGUGGAUUUGGAGACUAAUAUGGAGACUAUACUAAUACCGACUCGGUGUACGGGGACCUCACUAAAAGUAUUUAUUUAGGAGGGAUUGGGAAACUACCGACCUUUGUUUCUGUAGCCAAGUACGAGUUCCCGGAUCUGAAAAUAAUUAGCGAGAAAGUGCUGGUCAAAUGACGACCAGGACACCGCAUACGUACAUACGUACAUAUGUAAGUAUGUACAUAUAUGUACAUCUAUAGAUCUACAUCUACGUAAUGGGAGUCGAGGUAAUUUCUGACAAGAGUAAGGAUGCUUCGGUCAACGUGAUGAAAAUGCGAGUUUUAAGUAAUGCAAAUUGUCGUAAAAUUUGAUGUGCAUGAUACUCGUCACAGACGAUGGGGUUGAUCUUGUGUGGGGUUUGUCUUGGUAUGCUAUUCCCGCUUUUAUGACUUGUAUGAUGAAUGAUGAUUUGCGUUAUAAAUGAAAUUUGCAUUUUACUUUUCAGGAACAAGGCAGCAGUAGCAAACCUGACUGAAAGACUUGAAAAAGUUGGGUUUGGGUCUUCACCAUUCUGCUUUACAAACUUUUCUUAUACUACUGACGUCAAGAAUGUAUGCUCAUUAAUUACUUUUAUCCCACGUACGUGUACAUGGGGUUGUUGCUGAUUUUUUGUCAUCUUUUUUUUUCGGGAGUCAUUAAACAUGAGUGUGAAAACGUCACUUGAAAUUACAGAAGUAUUUAAGAAGUAUCUAAACAAACUUAAUUGAGCAAAAGCAGGAUAAAUACUUCAAUAUGGUAUAAAAUAAAAAUCAAUUGUAGCCAUACAGUCUCGAGAGAAUAUUCCAAAUUAGAUUUCCAACACGUUUCGUAACCAAACCACAAGGAAGGAUCAAACCUAAUCAAUUCUCCCAACCUACAGUAAGCAUUAAUACAUAGAAAUUGAAUGUCAGGCACGCAAAAGAAAACGAGAGGUUCUGGUUCAUAAAUAUAUUUAUCAAUGCUACGUUGAAUGUACGACUACCUCAUAAAAUUGAUUUUUAGCAAUUUGCAAGAGUGAUUAUGUUGACAUUCUCUUUUGCGACUUUUUGCUUGCGGAAAGCGGAAGGACGCAACUUCCGCAUGAAAUCAAUAAGAGAAGCAAUGCAAGACAUGAAUGAAUGAUAUUUGAAAAUGUGCCUUCUUCUCUCAUAGGAUUGUACAUUGUGCCACACGUGCAUUUGUCUUCACAGUACUUCACAGCAACACGUAACGUUUAAAUGGGAAUGUUUCCGAUGGCAGUGCCCUUUUGAUAGUUAUCAGAGAACGAGAUAGUGCUUAGUCGUCGUGACUUGGUGUUUCAAUUUUCACGUCGUUCAGUUACUCCAGAAUUUUAUCCACCGUUUUUGAUUAUUUGAAUAGCACAGAUGGAAUUAAUUCGUAGUGUACAUCAAUCUGUAAUUACACUGGUAAUAAUCGCAUGGGUUGGAACACUAUGUCGUAUAGGGGUUAGUGCGGCUCAUUUUCAAACACCUGCUGCAGAACACGGGUGGGCUCAUUUGACUUUGUUUGAGCAUGAAAACCACCAAGG